GUUAGGGUUCCAUCCCAGCAUUUUACAGCGGCAGUGAUGUUUGAUAGAUUUAGGGUUAAUUUAUCGUCUUUCUUCCCGGUCUCUUGAUCGUAGAGAUUGUGAAUUUCAUGGGACUGAAGUUUGGCUCUUUGGUCAAUUUCGUAUGCCAUAGAGAUGAAUGCAGUUCCCUAAAUCAUCUCUUCAACCUCUUCACCCAUUUUCGCUAAGUAAUUCAGGCAGCCUCUCUGCAAUUUUCAUGGCAAAGGAGGCGUUAAACUGCUCGUAGAUCGAAUCGCUUAUGCUCUUCAGACUUGCUGAGGUUUCCUCUGAAGCUCGUCUAGUAAGCCUAAGUACAUUUGUUUUCUGGACAUACGUUUUACGGAUUUCGAGUCGCUGUUCUUGCUUGAUUUCACUAUAUGUUCUUUCUUCAGAACCUACCUAUGAUCAUUUAGCUGAGUAGUGGUUGUUAAAUUAGAAUAUAUCUUGCAGACGCAGAUUAUUCAAUGACUUUUUAGUGUUGCAAGAACCAGUGGUUGGUGGAUUAAUCCGGAAUUUUGUUAGAGGAGCUAUAGAGUUGGUUGAGUUACAUUUAAAAACACUUAUUCAUAGGUGGAUCACUCUUGAUUGUAGGACUUUCUAGACCUAGACCGGCUUGGAUUUUGAUUCUCAAAUUAUUCUUAAGCUUCUUCAGAUUAUAGACCAAUAACUUAGGUUGAAUUCAAAAUGAACCAUAGCGGUACAUGUAAUUCAUGCCCAUAUUGCCACAAUUCAUCCAUGUAUUUCAAACAAUAGAUGCAUACUUUGUAAAGUUAUAUCAGGUA